rnacentral:rRNA from 1 species
UACAGAGGUCUCAAGCGUUGUUCGGAUUCAUUGGGCGUAAAGGGUGCGUAGGGGGCGCCGUAAGUCAGGUGUGAAAUCUCGGGGCUCAACCCCGAAACUGCACUUGAUACUGCGGUGCUCGAGUACUGGAGAGGAGAUUGGAAUUUACGGUGUAGCAGUGAAAUGCGUAGAUAUCGUAAGGAAGACCAGUGGCGAAGGCGAAUCUCUGGACAGUUACUGACACUGAGGCACGAAGGCCAGGGGAGCAAACGGG